GAGGACGUAAGCACAUUGCUGAACCUUGUUAAAAUUCUUGAAGCAUGACCACUAUUGUGGUUCGGCAAUAACUUUGAAGGAAGCAAGAAUGUUUACUUAAUUUGAGUACCUUGUCACAUUCAGAUAUUAGCUUUGGGUCAACAUUUAAUCCAACCUUCUUCU